UUAGGUUUAGGGUUUUAGUGUCAUUUGAGAAGUUGUUGAGGUAUACCUUUUGUGUCACUGGGUCCACCUGACGAAGCCGGAUCUAGUAACCGGUCUUUAAAAUAAUCUCUGAAAGGUUUUUCAUCGCUUAGAAAGUGAGGAAUGAAACAAUAGAUUCGUGAAGAUAUUUGCACGGAUGGUAUUUGUCAAGAGCAACAAGAGGAUUUGCAUAACCACAACCGAUGUAGCAUCAUGGAGUGACUUCACCCAUUCCUGGAGGCCUCACAAGGUCAUGUAAAAAAAGAAUCACUAAAUGUAUGGAGGCUGGAAGGAAAGAUGAAUGCAAAAUUAAUCUCGGACAUUGCUGGAAUACAGGAAGUGAUCCUCACGCCCGCUGGAUUUUCCUGCACGAGGAAGUGUUAGUGACUCUCCUCGCUGGCCAGCACCUCCUGCACCUACUCCACUAGAGCUGCCACCUGACUGGGCGAAGGUAUCACGAGGCUUCCAUACUGGUGAACCUGUAGUAGGGUAGUGUUGAGAAGAAACAAAUAUGUUGCAUUAUAAUAAUUAUUUUAAGGAGCAAUAAAUUACUGUAUUGUAAUCCACAAGUUUUCCCUACAUAUUAGUGUACAUACUAGCAAAUCAGAAUUUUCCAUAAUUUCAACUAAUGGAACAUUACUCAUUACUUCCAGAAUGUGUAUAACUACGUAUAGACCAUAAAAAAUAGGAUCAUGCAGUGCUACCUAAUGCUGAUAUGCAAUACAUUCAUAACACACCUCUUUCAUUAAUACCCAUGAGGCAUAAGCAGAACCAAGGUUAUUCAAUGUGUAUGUCAGUUUUGAUAAAUUUAUGGAAGGAGUAUUUUAUCUUCUAGAUUUACUUUCAUGCAGAUGGCCCUCCAGCUGUACCAACUCUGUAGAUCCUAACUGAGGAAGGCCCAAACCAUAUGGCAUAUGGGUCUUCAAGGUGUUUAGUCUUCAGUUUCAACCUCAAGAGUGGUGAGCCAAGGGAAGAAAGGAGGCCACUGCAUAUUAUGAUUAAUGGCUAAUGUUCCCAAGACUUGCUAAUGUUAUGUGGGAGGAGUAGGAUGUGGGAGAAGAUGAAGAUGAGUGCACACAAUAGCUUGCGUGAGAAGAUAAUACCAUGAGGCAAAUGAUUACAUUCAGGGUACCCAAGAGCAAGAGACUGUGCUGCCUAAAUACCAGCAGAAUCUAAACCAAGGCAAAAGAAGGAUGAAGUGCUAUGUCCACACUCCAAUAAGCAACAAUAAAAUGGUGAAAUGGGAGGCACUAACAAGAAUGACAUGACACAUCUGUAUAGGACUUCACUUUGGUCAAGAUGUUGGCAUGUCAGGGUUUUUGGUUACAUCAUUGACCUGAGCAUCUGCAAAGCCAAACUAGCCUACAAGAGGGCCAUCCAUCUGAGACCCUAAUGGAUUUGAAAGCUUUCAGUCUCUGCAUAUCAAAGUAUGCAAGGCUCCACAAGACAACUGGUCCUCAGUAAACAUUGAAAUGUCAUGGAAGAUCCUUCCAGACUCUCCAUCGCCUGCUGCCACGACUUUCCCAUUAAGAGGAGGUAGAUCUGUACCACAUGUAGUGAGAGGACAUCUUGGCUCACCAUUGCUUGUCUUCACCACCAUAACUGAAGACCUGUAAGCACUGAUCCAAGAAGGAUUUGCGUCAAAGGAAGUUGGUGUGCAGGGCGUGCAAUAUAGCACUGUGUAGUCUAACUCCAGGAAUUGUUCUAUUCUAUUCCAUGAAGUUUGUAAUAUAUCAAUUAACAUUGUUGCAAUAUGUGAAUUUUUAGUAAUACUAUAGUUUUGAAAAUAUUUAAUUUGAUGGUGGUUUAUCUUACCAAAUACUCCACUGCAUACAGAAACUUGUGUAACUGCAUCUUGAAUAAGUAUAAAAAGGAAUAAGAAUAAAAAAUGGGUUUAACAGCCCACAAACAAAAAAUCCAUAGCUAGGGAACUCCAACAACAGUAAGGGGUGAUAGUAGGUAGCACAAACACAGGAGAAGCUAGAAGGCAGCAGAAAAGUAUCUCCCCAAGGUGGCAGAACAAUCCACAAACAUUAGGAAAGCCUGCUACAGACACAACAGCCACAGUUAAAUGACAAGAACAAAAAACUGAAUCUCGGCAUGAAAAUAUAUCCAAAAUGAGUUUCUGCAUAAAAUAAUGCUGAUAAUAGGAAACAAAGAACAGAAAUUUUAAACAAUCUCAAAAUUCCAAGAGUAAUCAAAAUUAAUUCUCACUAAGAGGAAAACGGUAGUACUACUCACAUUUACACUCGGUGGCAAGAAACGCCAAUGACACAUAACUACCAUUAAUUUUAAGAAACUUAACAUUUACAACUACCUCUUAUUUUUCAACUACAAUAAUUUUAGGUGAGUACCAUCAUCAAGAUGUGUAAGUAUGCAAUAUAAGACCAAAUGAAAAUACUAAAUAGUAUCAUAUAAAAAAUGCAAAAUGUUUCUGGAAGAGCAACUUGGAAUAGUCUGAACACGACAGAAUCCUAUGGUGGAUGGUCAGGCUAUGUGUAGUGGGUUCUUUGUCUGUCAGGUUCUCAUAGCAAAUGUGACAAGAGCCAUAUGCAUGGAAAUAAGGCUACUUAUGAUUAAUGGGUUUAUGCACAAACUUCACUUAUUAAAAAACUGAUGUAUGUAUAUCAAUCAUUCAUGAUGCACAAAAAAAUUACUAAUGCAAUCACAGAAAUUAUGAAUGCAUAUAGCCCUGGACAUAGGAGUAUGUGGUAGGAUAAGCCUUUUUAAGUGCCCCACCUUUCCCGCUACAAAGAGGGAAGAGGGGGAUUAAAGAAAAAAAAAAAAAAAAAAAAAAAAGAAGAUAAUAAUGGACUAAAGAUCCUUAUGAAUUAUACAAUUCACAAUUAAGCCUAACCCAAUACAAAGCCUACUGUUACUACCUGAAAGCAAAAUACUGUCUCACCAAAUGAUAAUUCAGUAAAUAGUACUUUAUUCUAGAGUAUUAAUUAAAUACAUAUUACUGUAAGUAAAUAAAAACACUGAUGCCAAACACUAAAUAGACUUAGCCCCCACUACAUUCCAGUUACCUAGGUAACUAACUUUACUAGUCACUUAAUAUGAUUUCAUAUCAGUGAUGUAAUGUAGUAACAAAAACUAAUCAAAUCGGUAAAUAAUCUUCAGCAAUCAAGUUUGACAUUUGGUAUGAGGCAGUUGACUAUAAAAAGGCUGAUAGUUUUUUCAAAGUCCCUCUAUUCCUAUAUAAACAUUAACAAGUCUACAGAGUUGUGAGUGGGUCACUCAAAAAGUCAUAUUAGCUGACAUAUUACAGAAAAAUGGCUGAAGAUGAACUAUCUUUCUUUGUUAAAAAUCAGCCUCCCUAAACAUACCUUUUAAGUAGGUUGCCAUUAGUGUCACGAAAUUUCAUGAAAUCAGAAUACUGUAUAAAAUUAAUAUAAAAAAUAUACCCCUAUAUUUAUAGAAUAUAGGUCGGCAAAAGAUCUGAAAGUGGAAAUUUGGUUCUUGAAAUAUAGUCUGUUAAAAAGUAUGCAAAAAUAGAAUUAAAAGUACAAUACUAGUCUGUCUGAAGAAAAAAAAAUCCCAUUACAUUGGGAAUAACAAACUACAAUUUCCUAAGGUUAUGCAAAUAUGCUUCUCUCUCUCCAGGAGAAUCAUCACUGUCUCUUCAGUGAAUACGUAACACAAAUGGGUAGUUAAUGAGGUAAUUUUGCCAAGAUUCACCUUACUAAAUUAAUGAUAAAACCAACCUCAAGGAAAACUAUUAAUCCUUUACCUACAAAGAAAAAGAACCAAUAACUUACAUACUAAGCUUUGUAAAUUGCUUACAUGCCAACUGUUAGUGUGGGUAAUUAUCAAAUAGAAUAUAAUUGGCAAGGGCAAAAAUUGCAAGUAAAACCACUACAGAGGCAAACUUUCUGUAAUAAAAUCCAAAUCAUUAUAAAUUCCCCAAGUUAGUAGCUACUGGGUAAGGUUAAAAGCUAUAUGAAUUUGCAAAACAAAUUUAACACUAAUGUUUAGAAGUUUUACUCUUUAGACAGGUAGCACCAUUCAUUUUAUUAUAGAGUAUCAAGUACCUAUGAUCUAUAAAUGUUCCCCAUUACCUUCAAAGCCCCUAAAAUUAGUAGUUUCCAUUUGUGAACUGUCUUUGCAAAAGUACAGAACCACUAUGUAUUAUGAAGAUAGCAAACAAAAAUGUGUAAUUACGAUAUUAUCAUCAGCAAAUCGUUCAGGUUAUCCUAUUUUCUCCUUUUCAAUCAAAAGCCCACACUAAAAGGAACCAUCUAAUUCAAUUUAUUGCAGUACUUAUUUUUUAUAUUUUUUAUAAUUUAAAUGUAGGAAUAAAUAUGAAACUGGAUCCCAUUCUGUAAUGAGCAAUAAAUAUUGUGACUUCUAUUGUACAAAUAUGUAAUGACAAUUUUAAUAAAGGAAUUAAAGUACCAACUGAAUUAAUUUUAACAUGAACAUUAAGAAAAAAUACUGAAAGUUUCUACAAACCUCUGAUGUGAUUGUUAAUACAUGUUAUUUUUACUGUAAAGUAUAUAUUACUGAAAUAAAAAUUCCAUUAUUACUAGAAAUUUUUUUAUAAUUUCAAAAUUACUCUACAUUAAUAACAAUGUAGUUCACAGACUAGGUAAUGU